AACCAUAGAAACCUGCGGAGUACCUGCGGAGGGAUCAUUACUGAGUGAGCGUCCUCGGGCGCGACCUCCAACCCUUUUGUAUUCCGACCAUGUUGCCUCGGGGGUGACCCGGCCUUCGGGCGUCGGGGCCCCCGGUGGACCUAUAACUCUGCAUCUCUGCGUCUGAGUAUGAUAUUGAAUCAAUCAAAACUUUCAACAACGGAUCU
rnacentral:misc_RNA from 1 species